rnacentral:ncRNA from 1 species
UUUUUGUUUAAGGAUUAAUUUUUAUAUUAUUGUAUAUAUAAAUAUAAAAGAUUUAAAUAAUUUUAAUAAAUAAAUUAAUAUAUAAAUUUAUACUAUUAAUGAAAAUUAUAUAUAGAAAAUAUAUUAAAAAUUUAAUAAAUUAGUGCCAGCAUUAGCGGUUAUACUAAUAAUUUAAAUUAAUUUUUAAAAAUUUGUUAUUUAAAUUAAUUUAUGUUUUUUAUAAAUAAUUUUAUUUAGUGAAAUAUAUUUAAAAUUAUAAUAAAAAAUUAAUUUUAUUGAAAUAAUAAAUUUUAUAUAAAAUUAGGAUUAGAUACCCUAUUAUAAAAAUGUAAAAUAAAAAAUUUAAGUAUUAAAUGUAAAUCAUUAAAUAUAAUAAAUUUGGCGGUAUUUAAUUUAAGUUAGAGGAAUAUGUAAAUAUAAAUUGAUAAUCCACGAUAAGAUAAACUUUAUAUAAAUUUUUAGGUAUUGUUGUUUAAAUAGAUUUUUUAGAGGAAAUUUUAGUAAUAUAUUUAAAAAUAAUAAUUCAAAUCAAUGUUUAGAAUUAUAAAGAAUUUAUGUAUUACAAUUAUAUAUGAUAUUGGAUUAUAUAUUUUAAUAUAUAUAUAAAAUUGGAUUUAAAAGUAAAAUUUUUAAAUUUAAAAAUUUGAAAUAUAUUUUUAAAUAUGUACAAAUUGCCCGUCACUCUGUAAAAGGAUAAGUCGUAACAAAGUAAAUGUACUGGAAAGUGUAUUUAGAUUUAUA